CUCUUUGGGAGGCCAAGGCGGGUGGAUCAUGAGGUCAGGAGUUCAAGACCAGCCUGGCCAAGGUGGUAAAACGCUGUCUCUACUAAAAAUACAAAAAAAUUAGCCGGACGUGGUGGCAGGCACCUGUAAUCUCAGCUACUCAGGAGGCUGAGGCACAGAAUUUCUUGAACCCGGGAGGCAGAGAAUUUCUUGAACCCGGGAGGCAGAGGUUGCAGUGAGCCAAGAUGGCGCCACUGCACUUCAGCCUGGGUGACAGAGCGAGACUGUGUCUCAGAAAGAAAAAGAAGAAAAAAAAAAAAGAUACCGAGUUUAAUAGGCUCAAAGCUGUCCCUGUUUGGCAAUUUACCUUGCUGUGUACAUACAUACAUACACACAUCCAAACCUAAUUGGAUUUCUUUUGAAACACAUAAUAAAAUUUGACCCAUCUGAGCAGGGCUCCUAUAGCCUUGUAUCUUGGAAAAUUUGUAUGUUUAAGCUUGAUGAUGUCCUUAAGAAAGGUGGUAUUCUGGAAAGACCACAGACAUUGAAGUCAUUUGGGCUCAAAUUUUGGCCACACCACUUCUGAUUGUGUAACCCUGAGCAAGGUAGAUCUCUGAGCAUCAGGAUUUCCUCUUAUAUUUCUGAUUUCAACUCUCUUAAAAUUUUGCCACCCUAAGAAUACCUACUUUUUCCUUAGGGCUAGUUAUGUGCUAGGUACUGUGUUAGGAGUCUUACAUACAUUAAUGCCCAUUCCUGCCAGAAAGAUACCUGUACUUUCAUUUUCCAGAUGAGAUAAGGUGGCAGGGUAAAGUAAUCCUGGUCUGGGAGGAAGAGCAUGGGCUGAUUUCUGGUUUUGGUUCUGCCAUUUUAAUGGCAAUUCAUUUAACAGCUCUAAGUCUGUGAUGUGUGGUUUAGGAGUUUUAAAUGAGACAACACAAAGCAUUGAUCAAGGUGCCUGACUCAUAGAAGGUGUGCGUUUUCCUUUAUGAAAAUUAUAAAGUUAGAGAUUUAUGAUUGGAAUACAGUAUGGUCGUGAUGGCAGCGGUGGCCUGUCUGGAGCCUCUGCUGGGAAGAUGCCAGCUGCAGUUGGGGAGGUGCGGUCAGGGCUGUGUGCUCCAUGGAGCUGGCAGGAGCUGGGAACAAGCGGGAGCCCUGCCCUCCCAGGCACAGUUGCAGCUGCCCAACCACAGCUGCAGACCUGGGCAUCCCGGAAGCCCAUGAGCUUGGAAGUACCUGCUCCUGCUGCCUGACCUGUCUGUGCUCCUGGUGUCCACUCCAAUUUCAGAGCAAAGUUGAGGCCGAGCCUGGGUUCUACUGAGACCUGGUCGGGUGUGCACACACUUGGGGCGGUGCUGACACACCAGCCCCCUGCAGCCUCAGCCCCCUCCGGACUUUGGGUGCCAAGAAGCAUGAGGGAGGCCAAGCAGGGGAGGAGGGCAGCUGGGUGCAGGUCUGUAGAUGCCCCUUUGCACCAACAGCCUGGGUGCUGUGGACAAAAUGAUUGAUGGCCAUAAGAGGCAGACAGGCUCCUGGGUGGAAAGGGGUGGGUCCCUGGCGAAGCCCCGCCUUCAAGUCAGGGAUGGCCUGAAGCCUGAGGGCCAAGCUGUCAGUUCGGGCUGGAGUCUGUGGCCCAGAGUAAGAACUUGUGGUUUUUCCGGGCCUGCCCGUGGCUGCCCAUGGACCAAUCAGCAUGUACUUUCUCCCUUUUGAAACCCAUAAAAACCCUGGACUCAGACUCUGGCAGAUGUCAGACGACCUGCUGCAGAAAGGAGCUGUCUACUCCGGGUCUCCUAAGGGCUACAGACUUGAUGGGUGCCGGGUCCAACCUGCAGACUGCGACCAAGCGACGGAUGAAAAAAAUGCACUCCAACACAGAUAUCCAGUGAAAGAGCGGGCUACCGGGAGCGGGCUGCCUACAGAAAGAGUUGUGGCAGCCUCAGCCCUGACAAGCUGGUGCUGCAGGCAACUAUUUAGUACAGAUUUAAUGACAAAGGCCUUGAGUCAUUGUGGGUAAUUAACGUGGUCAUUGCCCCCCACCUCCACCUCAUCUCCAGAGAGAGCAGUCCUGCGCCUCGAUUAUUAAAGGCCAGGUUCCAAGGCCUAAGUAAACUAACUUACCUAGAUCAGUUUCUUUUUUUUUUUUUUUGUUCUUAUUAUACUUUAGGUUUUAGGGUACAUGUGCACCAUGUGCAGGUUUGUUACAUAUGUAUCCAUGUGCCCCCUUGUUAUCUAACCUAAGCUUUCAGGCACCAGAUAAGAGAAUCUGGCUGCCUUCGGCCAAAUCCUUUUCUGAAGCUUUUGUAAAACUUCCCAGCCUUCUAAGAAGGUUUGCUUCUUUCUACAAUUUUUCCCACCACCCUUACCGAACCCCUACAGAUGGGAUGACCUGCCUGCAUCUGGGAGGUACCCACUCUGGGUCUUUUCUGCACUGAAGGCUGCACAGAUGUCAGGAUGACCUGCCUGCGGAAAGGAGCAACCCACUUUGGGUCUCCUGAGAGCUGUACUGUCGCUCAAUAAAGCUCCUCUUCACCUUGUUCACCCUCCAGUUGUCCGUAUACCUCAUUCUUCCUGAAUGCAGGACAAGAACCUGGGACCCGUCAAAUGGUGGGGCUGAAAAAGCGGUAACACAAACGGCUGAAAUAUGUCUCCCUUGCUCGCCAUGUUGCAGGCAACAAGAAGGAGAGAAGAGCUGCGGCCCUUCCGGGAGCCCAGACUUAGGGGCUUCCUGAGCCAGUGCUGUGACACCCCCUUUAGGGCUCUGCGGUUUCUGGCAUCUCCAAGCUUCCAGGUGCCGCUGCAUUCUCCUCGUCCAGACGCAGGUGCCCACGGCAGAAGCCGCUUGCAGUGCAUCUCAUCCAGCUGCAGGCUUGCAUGGAGCCAGCACCUAUGCCGGCAUCUGGAGCUGCCUGCUCUGCCCGGCUGUAUACAGUGGCCACCGGUGUGCCUGGCUGUGUGCAGUGGCUGGACCCUGCACUCACACACGCCUUGCCACUCUGUGCUUGUCUUGCCCUUGGCAGGCUUGGGAUCCGGGCUGGUAGCACAAGCCUGCCAGGCUGAGUGGGCGGAACGAGCCCAGCGGACCUGAGCAAAACUCAGUUUACUCCUGGAAUUUAUUCCAAUGGAAUAAGAGGAGGAAAAGCUAUAUGAACAAUUUUGAAAAGAUUUACUCUUCAUUUAACAACUAUUUAUUAAGGUCAUCCUGAAUCAUGCCCGGUUAGGUCUGGGAAUACAGACUCUGUCAGAGGGCACCUGAUAAUCCAUGUUAUAUGAGAGCUAAGAAUUGAAAAUGGAAUGCACAUCCAGUAUUAGGGGGAUGGUAAGGUAAACAAUGAAGUGCCAAGUUAAUUGAAUAUUAAGUAGACUUUUAAAGUGGUAAUUUUGGCCAGGUGUGGUGGCGCAUGCCUAUAAUCUUAGAACUUUGGGAGGCUGGGAUGGGAGGAUCACUUGACCUCAGAAGUUUGAGACCAGCCUGGGAAACACAGGGAAACCCUGUAUCUCCAAAAAAUAAAAAAAAUUAGUCGGAUGUGAUGGCACGCACCUGAGGUCCCAGCUACCCAGGAAGCUGAGUUGGGAGGAUCACUUGAACCUGGGAGGUCGAGGCUGCAGUGAGCCAUGAUCACGCCACUGUACUCCAGUUUGGGUGACACAGCAAGACCAUGUCUCAAAAAAAAAAAAAAAAAAAAUCCUGAAGAC